GGAGGUUUAUGCUCAGAAGUAUUGUCGCGGUAAUACAGAAAAUAGCUGGAGCUGCAUUAUUAUAUUUUAAAAAGCUGAAAUAUCUUCAGUAUGCAAUUUCCUGUUCUUCUCUUCAUCUCAUCUGUUUCAGCAGUAGUUGGCAUGGUGAGUGUACUAGUUACCAAACCUGUGAUUUCCUACUGCCACCAGGCUAUCACUCUACACUGCAAUGUUUCUCUAUCUGAUGGAAAGGACCGUGAAUUCCAGGUUACUCAUCUGAGCUGGAUUAAAGAAUCAAAUAAAACAGUAUGCUCAGAAAGCAAGAUAGCAAAGAAAGGUUCCAUCCAUUGCCAAUACAUGCCAAACAAACAGCUGGUACUAACUAUUGUCCACCCAAAAUCAGAUGACAUCGGACGCUAUAUCUGCAAACUCCGAUCCUCCCAUGGACAUACAAGUGCUGAUACCAAUGUGACACUGGGUAUGUAGGCUGAAAUGUUAUGACUGAGCGUGGAGAAUAAACAAGAA